rnacentral:rRNA from 1 species
UUGGGCUGUUCGCCCAUUAAAGCGGUACGCGAGCUGGGUUCAGAACGUCGUGAGACAGUUCGGUCCCUAUCCGUCGCGGGCGUAGGAAAUUUGAGAGGAUCUGUCCUUAGUACGAGAGGACCGGGAUGGACAUACCGCUGGUGUACCAGUUGUUCUGCCAAGGGCAUCGCUGGGUAGCUAUGUAUGGAUGAGAUAAACGCUGAAAGCAUCUAAGUGCGAAACUCACCUCGAGAUAAGAUUUCCCAUUCCUUUAUGGAAGUAAGACCCCUGAGAGAUGAUCAGGUAGAUAGGAUGGAAGUGGAAGUACGGUGACGUAUGGAGCGGACCAUUACUAAUCGGUCGAGGACUUAACCAAG